GGUGCUGCUUGUGGCUCGUUUGGUGCGGACCUGGUACCUCUUUAGUGAAGCAGCAGCUGAGGAGACUCCGGCGCUGGCCAUGGCCGACGAAAAGCCCAAGGAAGGAGUCAAGACUGAGAACAAUGAUCAUAUUAAUUUGAAGGUGGCGGGGCAGGAUGCUUCUGUGGUGCAGUUUAAGACUAAGAGGCACACACCACUUAGAAAACUAAUGAGACCCUAUUGUGAACGACAGGGAUUGUCAGAGAGGCAGAUCAGAUUCCGAUUCGACGGGCAACCAAUCAAUGGAACAGACACACCUGCACAGUUGGAAAUGGCGGAUGAUGAUACAAUUGAUAUGUUCCAACAGCAGGCGGGAGGUGCCUACUGAAAAGGGAAACUGCUUCUUUACUCCAGAACUCUGUUCUUUAAAGACCAAGAUUACAUUCUCAAUUAGAAAACUGUAAUUUGGUUCCACCACAUCCUGACUACCAUCUUACAGUUUUCUCUAUUCUUUCAUUUCCCCCUUCCCCAUUCCUUUAUUAUACAUAAAGUAACAGGUAUAUGUAUGUGCACAAGCAUAUUGUGUUUUUUUUUAACUAAACAGCCAAUGGUAUGUUUUAAUUGACAUCAGGUGGAGACAGGAUGGAGGAAAACACUGAUUCUGUGAAAAUAUCCCCUUU